rnacentral:lncRNA from 1 species
AGCUCACAGGUGUCAUCUGAGAUCUUCCAGGAUGUCUAGAUGCAGCUGGUAAACGUGACAUAGGACCUGUAGCAGAUCUGUUCACUUCAGGAACUUGUAGGGGAGGCUGUCUAAGGUAUUCUGCUGGACUUGCUUCUCUCCAGUUCUGGUUUUUGAUUCUGCUAGCAGCUUGCAGGUGUCUGUCCUUCAUAGCCAGUGUUUGCUUUCAGACAGGCAAAAGAGCAGUAUCAAACUUGAAUAAAUCAACUGUGGAUGCCCCUUUUUUGAAUAAGUUUUGAAUAUUCUGCUGACAGACUGAUUUCUUCAUCUUACUGGUGAUUUUCCAGCUUAGUAAAGGUAACCCCUUGGAAUUCCAUCAUCAAAUAAAGUUCUACAUUUGCACA